GAUGAACGCUGGCGGCGUGCCUAAUACAUGCAAGUCGAGCGAAUGGAUUAAGAGCUUGCUCUUAUGAAGUUAGCGGCGGACGGGUGAGUAACACGUGGGUAACCUGCCCAUAAGACUGGGAUAACUCCGGGAAACCGGGGCUAAUACCGGAUAACAUUUUGAACCGCAUGGUUCGAAAUUGAAAGGCGGCUUCGGCUGUCACUUAUGGAUGGACCCGCGUCGCAUUAGCUAGUUGGUGAGGUAACGGCUCACCAAGGCAACGAUGCGUAGCCGGCCUGAGAGGGUGAGCGGCCACACUGGGAGUGAGACACGGCCCAGACUCCUACGGGAGGCAGCAGUAGGGAAUCUUCCGCAAUGGACGAAAGUCUGACGGAGCAACGCCGCGUGAGUGAUGAAGGCUUUCGGGUCGUAAAACUCUGUUGUUAGGGAAGAACAAGUGCUAGUUGAAUAAGCUGGCACCUUGACGGUACCUAACCAGAAAGCCACGGCUAACUACGUGCCAGCAGCCGCCGCGG
rnacentral:rRNA from 1 species